rnacentral:rRNA from 1 species
GGCGGACGGGUGAGUAAAGCCUAGGAAUCUGCCUGGUAGUGGGGGAUAACGCUCGGAAACGGACGCUAAUACCGCAUACGUCCUACGGGAGAAAGCAGGGGACCUUCGGGCCUUGCGCUAUCAGAUGAGCCUAGGUCGGAUUAGCUAGUUGGUGAGGUAAUGGCUCACCAAGGCGACGAUCCGUAACUGGUCUGAGAGGAUGAUCAGUCACACUGGAACUGAGACACGGUCCAGACUCCUACGGGAGGCAGCAGUGGGGAAUAUUGGACAAUGGGCGAAAGCCUGAUCCAGCCAUGCCGCGUGUGUGAAGAAGGUCUUCGGAUUGUAAAGCACUUUAAGUUGGGAGGAAGGGCAUUAACCUAAUACGUUAGUGUUUUGACGUUACCGACAGAAUAAGCACCGGCUAACUCUGUGCCAGCAGCCGCGGUAAUACAGAGGGUGCAAGCGUUAAUCGGAAUUACUGGGCGUAAAGCGCGCGUAGGUGGUUCGUUAAGUUGGAUGUGAAAUCCCCGGGCUCAACCUGGGAACUGCAUUCAAAACUGUCGAGCUAGAGUAUGGUAGAGGGUGGUGGAAUUUCCUGUGUAGCGGUGAAAUGCGUAGAUAUAGGAAGGAACACCAGUGGCGAAGGCGACCACCUGGACUGAUACUGACACUGAGGUGCGAAAGCGUGGGGAGCAAACAGGACUAGAUACCCUGGUAGUCCACGCCGUAAAACGAUGUCAACUAGCCGUUGGGAGCCUUGAGCUCUUAGUGGCGCAGCUAACGCAUUAAGUUGACCGCCUGGGGAGUACGGCCGCAAGGUUAAAACUCAAAUGAAUUGACGGGGGCCCGCACAAGCGGUGGAGCAUGUGGUUUAAUUCCAAACACGCGAAGAACCUUACCAGGCCUUGACAUCCAAUGAACUUUCCAGAGAUGAUUGGUGCCUUCGGGAACAUUGAGACAAGUGCUGCAUGGCUGUCGUCAACUCGUGUCAUGAGAUGUGGGUUAAAUCCCGUAACGAAGCCAACCUGGUCUGAGAUACAGUACGCUAUGGUGGUCUCUUAGUG